rnacentral:misc_RNA from 1 species
GUGAAUCAUCAAAUUUUUGAACGCAAAUUGCACUCUCUUCGGAGCGGAUGCGUAUUUGUGGGUGAGCCUAUUAAAAUCGACAUAGUUGCUGUUUCGUGGUGGCGUGCGUCGGAGAUUGGGCCAUGUUAAAUACUUUUGAUUUAAGCGACUUAAAAAUUCCUAUUGGUUUCAUGCACGUUUCUAAGAUCUAUUCAUUUAAACGUUGAUGGUAUAGAUUUUUACUAGAAGUGAGCAUAAUAUCGGAUCGCGU